GAAGAAGAAGAAGUAAAAAGGCUGAUUUUCCGAGAGAUUUUAUUCAUAAUGGAAAGCAGCAGCAGCGCUGGCAGUAGUGCUGAGUACAUCUUUAAAUGGAGCAGGGAGCAUACAGAGGAGUUGAUAAAACUCCGUGGGCAAAAUGACCACCUCUUUACCGGGGCCAAAAAUACUGCUGCAUAUGGAUGGAGAACAAUCCUGCAAAAAAUGGGCCUGGAGGGUGAAGUUGAGCCACAACAGGCCAAAAAAAAGUGGGACAACUUGGAAAAAAAAAAUACAAAGUAUGUUCAGGUUUGGCUACAUAUAUGUGUGUGUAUAUAUGUGUAGGGAAAUAACAUAUUACAUGUAUUAUAUUCAGGUUAAUUUACACUUUGAGAAAGCUUGAAAAAAGUCAUCUCCAAGUUAACAUUCCAAUUUGUCUCUUUUUCUGUAGAAUUUCAUGCAUCCAUCCAGUUCAUGAAACACUCCUUUAUUCUAGCUUUAAAGAAACACUACAGAAAAUUGCAUCUGUUGACACAAAUUGUUUUUCUUUACUUUAGGAAUGCAAAGAUCCAGGGACAGGGCAGGGGGUCAGUGGGAAGCCUACUGCUGCCACCUGGCCUUGGUUUGUCCUCAUGGAUGAGGUAUUAGGACAGAGGCCCUCUAUUGCCCCACCUGUCCUAAUUGCCUCCAUCCCUGAGGACACACCAGGGCCAGGUGCUGCAGAGGCUGAGCAGCAUCAGGGGGAUAAUGAGGAAGAGAAUGACGAUGAGAGGCCAGGAGAGAGGAAGGAAAGGAGGAAGAGAAGUAGGAGUGACGAGUUGGUAGAUUUAAUCAGUGAGGAUAUCAGAUGGCAGAGGGAGGCAGAGCAGAGAAGAGAAAGAGAGAGUCGGGAAAGGAUGGACAGAUUAUUUGAUUUAUUGGAGAGGAUGGUGGACAGACGUUAAUUUUUGUUAGUGUUUUUUUUUACAAGUUCAGGUUCUGUGUUGCUGUUGUUGUUAAAUUAAAC